ACUAUUUUGGCAGAAAAGUGUAUUAGAUUUAGAAUCUAAAAAUGAAGAUUAAUCUUCAAAUAGUA
rnacentral:tRNA from 1 species